rnacentral:rRNA from 1 species
CGACCCCAGGUCAGGCGGGGACUACCCA